rnacentral:lncRNA from 1 species
UGAUGGUCUUUUUUCUUCGAGUUUUCUCCUCAGUGUGUUGCUUCAUGAUCAGUUCGUGAGUCAUGAGGGAUCCAAGUAGCUCCUCCAAUGAUAAAGUAUUUAAAUCAUUGGCUUCUUGGAUUGCGGUGACUUUUGCCUCCCGCGAUCUUGAUAAGGACCUGAGCACUUUUCUCACAAGAUCACUAUUAGAAUAAUAUUUAUCAAGACUUUUUAAACUAUUUAUAAUGUCAGUGAAAUGAGUAAACAUUUAAGUUAUUGACUCUUCAGGUUCUAUUUUAAAUAGUUCAUAGUUGUGUACA